GACGAACGCUGGCGGCGUGCCUAAUACAUGCAAGUUGAGCGAUGAAGAUUGGUGCUUGCACCCAUUUGAAGAGCAGCGAACGGGUGAGUAACGCGUGGGGAAUCUGCCUUUGAGCGGGGGACAACAUUUGGAAACGAAUGCUAAUACCGCAUAAUAACUUUAAACAUAAGUUUUAAGUUUGAAAGAUGCAAUUGCAUCACUCAAAGAUGAUCCCGCGUUGUAUUAGCUAGUUGGUGAGGUAAAGGCUCACCAAGGCGAUGAUACAUAGCCGACCUGAGAGGGUGAUCGGCCACAUUGGGACUGAGACACGGCCCAAACUCCUACGGGAGGCAGCAGUAGGGAAUCUUCGGCAAUGGACGAAAGUCUGACCGCGCAACGCCGCGUGAGUGAAGAAGGGUUUCGGAUCGUAAAACUCUGUUGGUAGAGAAGAACGUUGGUGAGAGUGGAAAGCUCAUCAAGUGACGGUAACUACACAGAAAGGGACGGCUAACUACGUG
rnacentral:rRNA from 1 species